UACGUAGGGUGCAAGCGUUAAUCGGAAUUACUGGGCGUAAAGCGUGCGCAGGCGGCUUUGCAAGACAGAUGUGAAAUCCCCGGGCUCAACCUGGGAACUGCAUUUGUGACUGCAUGGCUAGAGUGCGGCAGAGGGGGAUGGAAUUCCGCGUGUAGCAGUGAAAUGCGUAGAUAUGCGGAGGAACACCGAUGGCGAAGGCAAUCCCCUGGGCCUGCACUGACGCUCAUGCACGAAAGCGUGGGGGAGCAAACAGG
rnacentral:rRNA from 1 species